UACAGAGGGGGCAAGCGUUGUUCGGAAUUACUGGGCGUAAAGGGCGCGUAGGCGGCCUGUUAAGUCGAACGUGAAAUCCCCGGGCUCAACCCGGGAACUGCGUCUGAUACUGGCAGGCUUGAAUUCGGGAGAGGGAUGCGGAAUUCCAGGUGUAGCGGUGAAAUGCGUAGAUAUCUGGAGGAACACCGGUGGCGAAGGCGGCAUCCUGGACCGAGAUUGACGCUGAGGCGCGAAAGCCAGGGGAGCAAACGGG
rnacentral:rRNA from 1 species